rnacentral:rRNA from 1 species
UACGGAGGGUGCAAGCGUUAUCCGGAUUUAUUGGGCGUAAAGAGCGUGUAGGCGGCCAUACAGGUCAGCUGUGAAAACUCGAGGCUCAACCUCGAGACGUCGGUUGAAACCGUAUGGCUAGAGUCCGGAAGAGGAGAGUGGAAUUCCCGGUGUAGCGGUGAAAUGCGCAGAUAUCGGGAAGAACACCCGUGGCGAAGGCGGCUCUCUGGGACGGUACUGACGCUGAGACGCGAAAGCGUGGGGAGCGAACAGG